GGGAUGGACGCACCGCUGGUGUACCAGUUGUUCCGCCAGGAGCACCGCUGGGUAGCCAAGUGCGGACGGGAUAAGCGCUGAAAGCAUCUAAGCGCGAAGCCCCCUCCAAGAUGAGAUUUCCCAGUAUGUAAGAUCCCUGGAAGACGACCAGGUUGAUAGGCUCGAGGUGGAAGCGCAGCAAUGCGUGCAGCUGACGAGUACUAAUCGAUCGAGGGCUUAUCCUA
rnacentral:rRNA from 1 species